AUUGAACGCUGGCGGCAUGCCUAACACAUGCAAGUCGGGCGGAUGAAGGUAGUUUGAUCCUGGGUUCAGCGACGGACGGGUAAGUAAUGCCUAGGAAUCUGCCUGGUAGUGGGGGAUAACGUCCGGAAACGGGCGCUAAUACCGCAUCCGUCCUGAGGGAGAACGUGGGGGAUCGUCGGACCUCACGCUACCAGAUGAUGCUAGGUCGGAUUAGCUAGUCGGUGGGGUAAAGGCCUACCAAGGCGACGAUCCGUAACUGGUCUGAGCGGAUGAGCAGUCACAGUGGAACUGAGACACGGGCCAGACUCCUACGGGAGGACGCAGUGGGCAAUUUCGGGCGACGGGCGAAAGCAUGAUCCAGCCAUGCCGCGUGUGUGGAGAAGGUCUUCCCAUUUUAAAGUAGUUUAAGUUGGGGUGGAGGGCAGUAAGUUCCUACGUUGCUGUUUUGACGUUACCAGCAGAAUAAGCACCGGCUAACUCCGUG
rnacentral:rRNA from 1 species